UACGUAGGGGGCAAGCGUUAUCCGGAUUUACUGGGUGUAAAGGGAGCGUAGACGGACUGGCAAGUCUGAUGUGAAAGGCGGGGGCUCAACCCUUGGACUGCAUUGGAAACUGUUAGUCUUGAGUGCCGGAGAGGUAAGCGGAAUUCCUAGUGUAGCGGUGAAAUGCGUAGAUAUUAGGAGGAACACCAGUGGCGAAGGCGGCUUACUGGACGGUAACUGACGUUGAGGCUCGAAAGCGUGGGGAGCAAACAGG
rnacentral:rRNA from 1 species